AGAGUUUGAUCCUGGNUCNNNUUANANAGGUGGCGGNAGGCCUCAAACAUGCAAGUCUANCCCUUUAAANAUACCACCGGCGGACGGGUGCGUAACACGUGGGAAUAUACCUUUUGGUUCGGAACAACGCAGGGAAACUUGCGCUAAUACCGAAUGUGCCCUUACGGGGAAAGAUUUAUCGCCAAAGGAUUAGCCCGCGUCCGAUUAGCUAGUUGGUGAGGUAAUGGCUCACCAAGGCUCCGAUCGGUAGCUGUUCUGAGAGGAAGAUCAGCCACACUGGGACUGAGACACGGCCCAGACUCCUACGGGAGGCAGCAGUUGGGAAUCUUGGACAAUGGGGGAAACCCUGAUCCAGCCAUGCCGCGUGAGUGAUGAAGGCCUUCGGGUUGUAAAACUCUUUCGACGGGGACGAUAAUGACGGUACCCGUAGAAGAAGCUCCGGCUAACUUCGUGCCAGCAGCCGCGGUAAUACGAAGGGGGCUAGCGUUGUUCGGAAUUACUGGGCGUAAAGCGCGCGCAGGUGGUCUUUCAAGUCAGUGGUGAAAGCCCGGAGCUCAACUCCGGAAAUGCCAUUGAAACUGUGAGACUUGAGGACGAGAGAGGUGAGUGGAAUUCCCAGUGUAGAGGUGAAAUUCGUAGAUAUUGGGAAGAACACCGGUGGCGAAGGCGGCUCACUGGCUCGUAUCUGACGCUCAGGCGCGACAGCGUGGGGAUCAAACAGGAUUAGAUACCCUGGUAGUCCACGCCGUA
rnacentral:rRNA from 1 species